GCUCACUAAACCUGAGCUGCGAUGGUCCUUUCCAGGCGCUGUCCACGCCCCGAGGCCUGGGCUCAGGCCGAAGUUGCUCCACAGCACCCCCAGCUGACAGCCAGCGACUGGCAGAGCCCCCAGGCACGGGGGCCCUCUCUCUUCCAGAGAUCUCCAGUGUGACAGCCCAGGCGGCAGAGCCGAGGGUCCUGGUCCCGGCUUCUCGCACCCUCAUGUCAGCCCCGGCCCCGCCCGGCGGCCUGCGGAGGACAAGGUCAGGAUGCGUGUGAAGCCCCAGGGCCUGGUGGUGACUUCCAGUGCCGUGUGCAGCUCUCCUGACUACCUCCGGGAACCCAAGUACUACCC
rnacentral:lncRNA from 1 species